AACAGCAGCGUAGCUGAACAUCUUACGGAUGGCCCAGGGCUCCAAAGGCUCGUUUCCUAAGUGAGAGAGAGCCUGGCUGAAGCUGUAUUACCAUUCAUUCUCCAGCCUCCGAAGUCUCAAAGCAUCACUUCCACCAUACUCUAACUGUCAAGACAAACACAAAGGCCCAGAAACUGCCAGACUGUCUUCUGAAGUGGCUAUAAUAUUUACACUCCCAUCAGCAGUGUAGAAGGGGUCUCACUAUGUUGUCUGGAGUGCUGUGGUGGAGUGGAGUGGCUAUUCACAGCUGAGUUUGCAGAGUAAACCACUACCCUGAAAUCUGGAAAGGCAGGUGCACCCACAGAUCCUCAGCUGAGAUCCAAUUACCUGAAAUAGAAGCUGCCAUUAGGAACACUUAAAAGAGCCUGUUCUGCUGGGACACAGAAUCACUUGCUCCAUCUCAUACAUUGAUGAUGAUUAAUUUGUAUGUGUACCUUCCAAAAAAGAUGGUUGUGUUUGAAUGGAGGCCUUCUGGACAGGAAAAUUGCAAAGUACAAUUAACAUUUGAGUCUGUCUGAGUCAUGAAGAAAUGGAGAUUACUGAAAAUAAUUCAUUUUGGUAUCUUCUUACAUCCUGAGAGACUAAUCUUUCCAAGUUCAUCUGAGGCUCCUCUUCUCCAUGACAACCUCAUCCAGGGAUUUCUUCCUGUCCUGGUGUUUUAUGACAUCAUCCUCAUCUCGCUUGUAAGGAUAAUAGCCUUCCUCCAAACCUCACACACUUUUGGAGGAGAUCACUUUUUUUAAAGUGCAUGGAAAUGUUUUGAAACAGUGAAAUCUAUAAUGAUAGGUUUCAUAAUUCUAACAUCCACACCAUAUGAAUCACAUCCUUCCUGAGAUAAUGAGCACACAAUUGCCUGGAUACCUGAAGGAAUGGAGACAGCGGCAGAAAACACUGCAGAGAGAUACAGUGAACCCACAUGUUGAAGCUUUCUAGUAUAAUAAAAAUUUCAACUGUUCUGUUGAAUCAUCUGCCUGAUUGGAGGCUACAGAAAAGAUGUCAUCUUAGGAGUGCUUGCUCUGAGUGAGGCUCAUCUUCAAAUCUGAAUGACCACAAGGAGAUUUGAUUAUACAUGUGAACACCUCAGAAGGCACAGCCCACCCAGAAGGCAGACAGGUCAGGCUGCUUUUUCUUCAUUGCUUGGAUUCAAUCCUCCGGGCGGCUCAGGCUCAAACAUAACUUAAGCAUGAUUAAACUUUAGAAGAAGCUGCCAGGAAGACUGUGAAAUCUUCAUGCCCAAGGAUCCCUAAAAUUAGGAGCAACAACCACUUGGCUCAGACGGUUUAUGGAGGCAAAGGUUUGGAUGGGAUUAGAGAUUUCUAAAUGUGAGUUCGUGUCCUCUGCCAGACCACCUUACUUCCACCAUUCCUCAGCAAAUCAAGAAAAACAGGAGAAAAGACAUGCCUUUCCAUAAGUUAAAUCUAUUCUGUUUUAAUUCUAUAUUAUAUCUGCUGUACAACUUCUUUUGUUUGUAACACCAUAUUGUUGCUAGUAACUGGAAAUUAAUUUUCACAUGCCUCAGCUUAGAAAAAUAAAAAGCAGCCCUGCAUCAA
rnacentral:lncRNA from 1 species